rnacentral:rRNA from 1 species
GAUGAACGCUGGCGGCGUGCCUAAUACAUGCAAGUCGAGCGAACAGACGAGGAGCUUGCUCCUCUGACGUUAGCGGCGGACGGGUGAGUAACACGUGGAUAACCUACCUAUAAGACUGGGAUAACUUCGGGAAACCGGAGCUAAUACCGGAUAAUAUAUUGAACCGCAUGGUUCAAUAGUGAAAGACGGUUUUGCUGUCACUUAUAGAUGGAUCCGCGCCGCAUUAGCUAGUUGGUAAGGUAACGGCUUACCAAGGCAAGGAUGCGUAGCCGACCUGAGAGGGUGAUCGGCCACACUGGAACUGAGACGCGGCCCUGACUCCUACGGGAGGCAGCAGUAGGUACUCUUCCGCAAUGGGCGAAAGCCUGACGGAGCAACGCCGCGUGGGUGAUGAAGGGCUUCGGAUCGUAAAACGCUGUUAUUAGGGAAGAACAAAUGUGUAAGUAACUAUGCACGUCUUGACGGUACCGAAACAGAAGACCACGGCUAACUACUU